rnacentral:rRNA from 1 species
UACGUAGGGUCCGAGCGUUGUCCGGAAUUACUGGGCGUAAAGAGCUCGUAGGUGGUUUGUCACGUUGUUCGUGAAAACCCACAGCUCAACUGUGGGCGUGCGAGCGAUACGGGCAGACUAGAGUACUGCAGGGGAGACUGGAAUUCCUGGUGUAGCAGUGAAAUGCGUAGAUAUCAGGAGGAAUACCGAUGGCGAAGGCAGGUCUCUGGGCUAUAACUGACGCUCAUGCACGAAAGCGUGGGGAGCAAACAGG